GCCACUAUAUCAAGAUCAAGCACUAAGGCAGAAUACAAAGCACUAGCCAAUGCUACUGCAGAAAUUAUAUGGGUUAAGUCUUUACUUAAAGAACUUGGAAUAUUUCAUACACAAACUCCAUGUCUUUGGUGUGACAACAUUUGUGCUACUUAUCUCUCUGCUAAUCCUGUUUUUCAUACAAGGACAAAACAUAUUGAGAUUGAUUAUCAUUUUGUUAGAGAGAGAGUUGCUAGCAAAGAAUUGCAGAUUCUGUUCAUUCCUUCAAAGGAUCAAGUGGCUGAUGGGUUUACAAAGGCAUUACCAACAGGACCAUUUGAAGAGAUUAAGCGUAAUCUAAACUUGAGAAGUUCAGAUUAA
rnacentral:rRNA from 1 species